rnacentral:rRNA from 1 species
CGACCGGCGCACGGGUGAGUAACACGUAUCCAACCUGCCGUCUCUCUUGGACAGCCUUCUGAAAGGAAGAUUAAUACAAGAUGGCAUCAUGAGUCCGCAUGUUCACAUGAUUAAAGGUAUUCCGGUAGACGAUGGGGAUGCGUUCCAUUAGAUAGUAGGCGGGGUAACGGGCCCACCUAGUCUUCGAUGGAUAGGGGUUCUGAGAGGAAGGGUCCCCCCACAUUGGAACUGAGACACGGUCCAAACUCCUACGGGAGGCAGCAUG